AAGUCGUAACAAGGUUUCCGUAGGUGAACCUGCGGAAGGAUCAUUAAAGAGUUAGGGUCCUAGUGGCCCCAAGCCUCAACCUCCUGCUUGCUUAAAACUAACCUUGUUGUCUUUUUGGGCGGGGUGACCCGGGUUUCCGGUUCCUCCGGACGCCGGUUUAAACCCUUCGGGGUUGGCGAGCGCCCGCCAGAGUCCCAACCAAACUCUUGUAUUAAACCAGUCGUCUGAGUAUAAAAUUUUAAUUAAAUUAAAA
rnacentral:misc_RNA from 1 species